UUACUCCCUAAAAUCAGGUUUUGUCGUUAAAAUUAGAAGUUUUUUCAAAUUACUGCGUUUGUCAAUGUUACAUCCCAAAACUGGCAUCUACCUAAUCCCAACUGGAAAGAGAUCAAUAUGACCUUAAAACCGCUGUGGAAGAUUUUAAAUAAAAGAAAUGUGAAAUGAUAACUAUAUUUCGUAUGACAGCCCAGUUGUUCAAAUAAGAUCUAAACCAAUUGAGGGAGCGCUAGGGGUUUAUUAAGAAUUUGGAGGGCUUACUUAGAAGCACCAUAUAGCUCAAAGGGACAGUCUGGGUCUUCCAAUAAAGUCUAAAUCUAUUAAGGAGG